AAGUCGUAACAAGGUCUCCGUUGGUGAACCAGCGGAGGGAUCAUUGCUGGAACGCGCUUCGGCGCACCCAGAAACCCUUUGUGAACUUAUACCUAUUUGUUGCCUCGGCCUAGGCCGGCCUCUUCACUGAGGCCCCUGGAGACAGGGAGCAGCCCGCCGGCGGCCAACUAAACUCUUGUUUCUAUAGUGAAUCUCUGAGUAAAAAACAUAAAUGAAUCAAAACUUUCAACAACGGAUCUCUUGGUUCUG
rnacentral:misc_RNA from 1 species